rnacentral:rRNA from 1 species
CACGUAGGAGGCGAGCGUUGUCCGGAAUCAUUGGGCGUAAAGAGCGCGCAGGCGGCUUGGCAAGUCGGGUGUGAAAUCCCGGGGCUCAACCCCGUGACUGCAUUCGAUACUGUCAGGCUAGAGGUAGGUAGGGGAGAUCGGAAUUCCUGGUGUAGCGGUGAAAUGCGCAGAUAUCAGGAGGAACACCGGUGGCGAAGGCGGUUCUCUGGGCCUGUACUGACGCUGAGGAACGAAAGCGUGGGGAGCGAACAGG